UACGUAGGGGGCUAGCGUUGUCCGGAUUUAUUGGGCGUAAAGAGCGUGUAGGCGGCCAGGUAGGUCUGGUGUGAAAACUCGAGGCUUAACCUCGAGAUGUCAUCGGAAACCAUCUGGCUAGAGUCCGGAAGAGGAGAGUGGAAUUCCUGGUGUAGCGGUGAAAUGCGCAGAUAUCAGGAAGAACACCCGUGGCGAAGGCGGUUCUCUGGGACGGUACUGACGCUGAGACGCGAAAGCGUGGGGAGCGAACAGG
rnacentral:rRNA from 1 species